rnacentral:lncRNA from 1 species
UCCAUUUCUACCCUUCUGGUAAGAAAAAAAAGUCUAGAGCUACGUAGAGAUCCAAAUUUCAGCCAAGCCCUCAGGUUCAAGGAAAUCCAACAGAAAAUGUACAAGGCAGUGUUUUCAAUAUUAAACUUUGCUAAGGAAGGCACAAACUAGCCUUCCUGGAGAGGAAGAAAGGAUUAAGCCUCACAUUUAUUAGUGGGUCUUAAAACAGUAUGGAUUUCCCAAGGACUGGUGGUAAAAUUCGGUCCUCAGUGUUGGAGCCUGCAGGGUGUGGGACUCCAUAGUUCAUGUGAUGGCUGCAAUAUAGUAUACUAUACCAAACUGUAUUAAAUAGUGAUGGGAAAUUACUUAGAUAAGGAUCUGGUAUAAAAGUUUAACCAGACAAACCAAAACAUCUGUGUUUUGGGCCAAGUUUGGUUUGCAUUUAAAGUCAAGUCUUCAGUGCAGUGAGCCCCAAAGGUAUAAAGGCUGGAAGAAAGCUGCUGCUAGGUUUGUUUUGCUGUAGUAGCCCACUUUGCCACUCUUCUUGUGUGUCUGGUUAGUGAUGACCUGAACAUCUUGUUAACUGCGUAACUG